rnacentral:misc_RNA from 1 species
GAUGAAGAACGUAGCGAAAUGCGAUACUUGGUGUGAAUUGCAGAAUCCCGUGAACCAUCGAGUCUUUGAACGCAAAUUGCGCCCGAAGCCAUCAGGUUGAGGGCACGUCUGCCUGGGCGUCACAUAUCGUUGCCCAAUGCCUAUUGCAGUGCAAUAGGAAUUUCUAGGGCGAAUGAUGGCUUCCCGUGAGCGUUGUUGCCUCGCGGUUGGUUGAAAAUCGAGUCCUUGGUAGGGUGUGCCAUGGUAGAUGGUGGUCGAGUUAGAACGAUACCGAUCAUGUGCAUGCUCCCCAAAAUAUGGCCUCUAUGACCCACACGCGUCUUUUGACGCUCAUGACGAGACCUCAGGUCAGGCGGGGCUACCCGCUGAAUUUAAGCAUAUCAAUAAGCGGAGGA